UCAGUUCUAAUUCUUUUUGUAUGGAAAAUGUCAAAUCCCCAAGUUUGUCGCGCCACGUCUUGAACUCUGUCCCAUUUAAUGGUCGGUGGUAAAGAUGUCAUCAAGGUUGCAACUUCUUCAGUGGCUUCGUUUUCCAGAUUGUUGCUCUUUGGCCUCCUGAGCUCCACUUGCAUGGACCGCAAGCGAUGCGGAGGCGAGACUGCCGCUCAGGCCACUGUCUCGCUGCUGGCAGGGGCGCUCAUGGGAACUCUUCAGCAGCAGAAGAAUAGGAGGAAGUUCCUCCCACCACCAGCAGCCCGAAACCCCCCAUACACACACACACACACACCACACACACACACACACACACACGCACGCACGCACAGAAUCACACAUACAUCCACGCAUACCUCACCAACCUCCACGGCCAGCAUAGGUUUGAGUGUCUGCCCGCGAUAAGGGUCGUUUGCUUCCUGAGUCCACACUGAACUUCACAUAGGUGCUACAGAUCACUUUUACAGAUACACACACACUUGUGAUGAAAGUCUGAGCGACAAGUGUGUGAAUGAGAUGGAAUUACAGUUUUUUUUUUUUUUAUUUUAACGCAGCCGAAAAAUGCAAGCGAACACCGCUUCCGGACUGUGACGCAACUCGUUCAUCCGCCUCUUCUCGCAAAGUUUCGAGUUGACUUCCUAAAGAAGAGGCAAAUCCCCUCAAACCAUCUUCCCAAGAAUGCCACGCCCUUCUCUGUCACAUCUCCAUCAACUGACUUCGAUGUUUUAUGGAUUGGCAGAGCCUCAUGCGUGCACCAGUUCCGCAUUGCAAUCAGCUCUUAAAUGCAGGAGAACAGAGGACAUACGCUUGACUACUACAGCCUCGCCACCAGUUGCCGGAUUCUUAUUUCUCAUCAGGUUCUAGUGAUAAUAUCCGGGUACUUCCUUUCCCCAUGUUAUGGGAGUACUAUUUGUGUUAGUUCAUUCUUGUUUUUCGUAACAGUUAAGUUCCUUUCAUAUUUUAGCUUGUUGCAAUUUUGUUGUCUAUUUAGAGUUUCGUUAGUUCGGUUUAUUUUACUUUUGAGCGUCUACCUCCAGUUUCACUCCAGCAUUUGUUUGUCUGUAAAUCAUUGGGUUUUCCACAUCAAUAUUUGAUGUUUUUAAUUCCUUCCUUGUUGUUUAUGCUCAGUGUUUAGCUCUUUAUGUGGUUAAACAAGUCUUGUUAUAUCAUCUAUUCUUGGUUAUUAGCUUUGGGGCUCUCAAUUUGAUAAUGUUCGCAUGAACACACAAUGCAUUGUAGAGUGCCCUGAGUGUGAAAGAGAAAAUGAAGGCAUUAAAGCAUUUUAAUUUGUGGAGGUACCCAUUUUCGUUUUUAUACUACAAGGUGUGUA